AAGUGUAUAAAAGUAUAUAUACAGUAAUUACUGCCCAGUAAAUUUUUAACGGCCGCAGAAUCCUUAACUGUGCAAAGGUAGUACGAUAAUGUGCUCCCUAAUCAGGAGAUAUUACAAAUGUAAAAACAAGAUUUAAACUUUCUUCUUCACUAAUAAAAACUAUGGUGGGAGUUAAAACACUUCCAUCUAAUUGUUAGACAAUAAGCCCCUAUAGAACUUAUAACCCAUAAGUGACUCGCACUUAUGAUUUAUUUAGCUGGGACGGCACAUAUUAAAGAAUCAGUAUAAAACAACUAAACACCAUAAGUUUUAUAAACCCUUCCCCAAUAACAAAACUAAGUUACCUUAGGGAUAACAGGCUAAUACGUUCCAAUAGCUCACAUUAACAAACUUAUUUGGCCCCUCGAUGUUGGCUUAGGGAACCCCCAUUAAGUAGAAAUAA
rnacentral:rRNA from 1 species